rnacentral:tRNA from 1 species
GCUUUUGUAGUGUAGUGGUCAGCACGUUCGUCGUGUGUUCGAGAGGUCUGUGGUUCGAUUCCCGGUAAGGGCA